rnacentral:piRNA from 1 species
UAACAUUCAAACGGGUCACUCUCAACUU